AGUUGAGAAGCAAUGCUGUUUCACCUCCCUGAGAGAAUUGCCUUGUUUGUGAAAUACUACAGAAAAACCUGUAUUUUCUCCAGAAAAUGAAAGGUCUUGGCCUGAGUAAAUCAAGGCAGAAAACUCACCCCCGUGAAAGCUGCAGCUCUGAGAGUGUGUGGGCAGGGCUUCAACAGAAUACCUGUGGCUGCACUUACAAAAGGCAGCCAGAAGGACCCGUCCAUUCUGGAAAGUACCUUUAGUCUGAAAGCAUUUAUUGCAGAAAAAAUAUGAGGCUUGCUGGUAGUAUUCCCAGGUGACAAAUGUGCACCCAACACCCUACAGAAAAGAAGAACCAUAAAAUAAUUAAUUAUUCCAUUGUAACUCCUGCCUGGAAAACAUCUGAAAGAAGUCACUAGAUUCAGCCCACAUUCAAGAUGAGAAAUACCAGAAGGCAGAGAACACUGAGGCUGUUUUAGAGGCUGUCAACCCCAGGGAGACAGACAGCAAAUAAGAUGCUUGGAUGUUUUCACACCACUCUGACACAUGGAUGGAAGGUUAGAAGACAACAAAGGAAUGGGCUGGGAAGGACUCCAAAAGCAGAAUCAGAGAUUAUAUCAUUCCUUGGAAAUGGAGAAAAGGAUCAAAAAAGCUGAAUAAAAGGCAAACAUGGAGGAACAGAGUUUGGAGCAAUACCCUGACUUACAUUCAGUACUGUUAAUGGCUCCAGCAUCUUGAAACAAACCAAUUUUGGAUUUUCAGUGAAAAAGAAAGCCAACCCAGAAAAUCACUUAGGAAGAUCCAGACAACAGAUGGUACGCCAAAAGUGAACAAUGAUCUCAGUAACUGAGGCCUCAGAGACAAGAUGAUCCAUUCCACAGCUGGAUAUUGUAAAACUUGGGUACCAGUGGUGCGCAGAUCUGACCAUUAAAACUAUGUACUUCUUGAGUCACAAACCAGUGUGUGUGACUGGUUAAAACCCAGUCACAACCUGGAAAAAGUUGUGGAAAGCACCUGGGGACUGAGGAGAAGCAAACUUCCUUAGGUUUACACAGUAUGGCUGGCACCUUAAGCAAGUUAAAAUCGGUCUCAAUUCCCUGCAGAAUAAGGGCAACACCAAUUAUGCUACCUACUUCAUGCAAGAACCUAAAAUGAAAAAUAAAAUUGCUUUUAAAAUGUG
rnacentral:lncRNA from 1 species